rnacentral:rRNA from 1 species
GGGCCCGCACAAGCGGUGGAGUAUGUGGUUUAAUUCGAUGCAACGCGAAGAACCUUACCAGGGUUUGACAUCCUGCGAAUCUCUUGGAAACAGGAGAGUGCCUUCGGGAACGCAGUGACAGGUGGUGCAUGGCUGUCGUCAGCUCGUGUCGUGAGAUGUUGGGUUAAGUCCCGCAACGAGCGCAACCCACGUCUUUAGUUGCCAGCAUUUAGUUGGGCACUCUAGAGAGACUGCCGGUGAUAAACCGGAGGAAGGUGUGGAUGACGUCAGAUCAUCACGGCCCUUACGUCCUGGGCUACACACGUGCUACAAUGGCAAGGACAAUGAGCUGCCAACCCGCGAGGGUGAGCAAAUCUUCAAACCUUGUCUCAGUUCGGAUCGGAGUCUGCAACUCGACUCCGUGAAGUUGGAAUCGCUAGUAAUCGCGUAUC